rnacentral:rRNA from 1 species
UACGUAGGGUGCGAGCGUUAAUCGGAAUUACUGGGUGUAAAGCGUGCGCAGGCGGCGCGUUAAGACAGGUGUGAAAGCCCCGGGCUCAACCUGGGAACUGCAUUUGUGACUGCAUGGCUAGAGUACGGCAGAGGGGGGAUGGAAUUCCGCGUGUAGCAGUGAAAUGCGUAGAUAUGCGGAGGAACACCGAUGGCGAAGGCAAUCCCCUGGGCCUGUACUGACGCUCAUGCACGAAAGCGUGGGGAGCAAACAGG